CGGCCGUAACUAUAACGGUCCUAAGGUAGCGAAAUUCCUUGUCGGGUAAGUUCCGACCUGCACGAAUGGCGUAACGACUUCCCCGCUGUCUCCAACAUCACCUCAGUGAAAUUGAAUUCUCCGUGAAGAUGCGGAGUUCCCACGGUUAGACGAGAAGACCCCGUGCACCUUUACUACAACUUUGCACUGGUGUUAGGAUCUAAAUGUGUAGGAUAGGUGGGAGCCUAUGAAGCGUCGGCGCUAGUUGACGUGGAGGCACCCUUGAAAUACCACCCUUUUAGGUUUUGACAUCUAACUGAGAUCCAUGAAACUGGAUCCAGGACCCUGCAUGGUGGGUAGUUUGACUGGGGCGGUCGCCUCCUAAAGAGUAACGGAGGCGCACGAAGGUAGGCUCAAGUUGGUCGGAAAUCAACUGGAGAGUGUAAUGGCACAAGCCUGCUUAACUGCGAGACUGACAGGUCGAGCAGAAACGAAAGUUGGUCAUAGUGAUCCGGUGGCGCUGCGUGGAAGGGCCAUCGCUCAACGAAUAAAAGGUACGCCGGGGAUAACAGGCUGAUCUCCCCCAAGAGUUCACAUCGACGGGGAGGUUUGGCACCUCGAUGUCGACUCAUCACAUCCUGGGGCUGGAGCAGGUCCCAAGGGUUUGGCUGUUCGCCAAUUAAAGUGGUACGUGAGUUGGGUUCAGAACGUCGUGAGACAGUUCGGUUUCUAUCUGCCGUGGGCGUUGAAGAAUUGAGAAGAGCUGCCCAUAGUACGAGAGGACCGGGGUGGACGUACCGCUGGUGUACCAGUUGUCCUGCCAAGGGCACCGCUGGGUAGCUAAGUAAGGAAGAGAUAACCGCUGAAUGCAUCUAAGCGGGAAGCUCCCUUCAAGAUAAGUUCUUCCUAUGAGAGUCGUUAUAGAUGAUAACGUUGAUAGGCUGGGUGUGAAAGUGUGGUAACACAUGAAGCUAACCAGUACUAAUAACUCCAUUGACUUAUUCAUU
rnacentral:rRNA from 1 species